rnacentral:lncRNA from 1 species
GUCCGAGCCAUUAACCUGGGCACGGUCGACAGGAGUGCGAGAGGAGUCCUGAGACUGCGUGUGGAGUGAGCGUGGAGAGAGAUAGAGGCUCAGGUGGAAGCGGCACAUGAGGAGCAGAAGAUAACCGAGGGCACAGGCUGAAUUCUGGAGAUUGAGUGUACAUCAAGAUACACCAGGCAGGGUGUGGAUCAGCGUAAAUUCUCCUUACAGCACCUGAAGCGGUAAAGAUCAUCAUGUCUUUCCUUGGUGGGUUCACAGUUCUCACGUGCAGUGAGGUCCAGCUGCAUAAUGGGAACCAGAAGGAGAAGGGAAUAGAAGUCAACAGCUACAGCCGACAUGUUAUUAUCAGUGUUCUAUGAGGAAUGGAAAUGAGUGUGCUUGGUGUGAUCAUAGAACAGAGGCCAUAAGUCUCUGAGUUUGUAAACUUCACUGUGAAUGUUAAUUAUGUGAAUUUUUUGUUCAUGUUCUAUUAUCAGUGUUUGUCCAUUUAUAAGUCAUUUCCAAGUGUAUGUAAUGUUGAACAGUAUGAUAUCAGAUGUUCAAAAAUGGGGGACUGAUAGGUUUGGUUUCUGAGCUUUAACUAUUAUUAAUCAUUAGUUAUAAAAGAGACAUGAGGAGUGCCAUAAUGAAGCUUGGGAGGGGCUGAGUGCAGGGAACACGGUCACAUGUGGCAGUACUGAUAAGGGGAUGAACUGUUUAAGGCCCAUAUCACUCAGCUCCCUGACUAGCAAUAAUGAUGCAAUGUUUAGAGAUAAGGAGGACACUCCACCCAAAGUGGGGUAUGCAUACUACCACGGGUGAAACCAUGUCUUUGUCUGAUGCAGAUGUAUUGACCCUUUGGGAAGAAUAAACUUGGUUUAAGCUUUUACAGUCUCCGUCGAGUUCCUACUCUAAUAAUAGAACCUAACAAACCCUAUCAACAAGCCAGGUACUACAGGC